rnacentral:rRNA from 1 species
GUAGGGAAUAUUGGACAAUGGGUGCAAGCCUGAUCCAGCCAUGCCGCGUGCAGGAAGAAAGCCUUCUGGGUUGUAAACUGCUUUUUUCAGGGGAUAAAAUACCGGUGCGCCGGGAAUUGCAAGUACCUGGAGAAUAAGCCACGGCUAACUACGUGCCAGCAGCCGCGGUAAUACGUAGGUGGCAAGCGUUGUCCGGAUUUAUUGGGUUUAAAGGGUGCGUAGGCGGUGAUUUAAGUCAGUGGUGAAAUACGGCAGCUUAACUGUCGAGGUGCCAUUGAUACUGGGUCACUUGAGUACUGAUGAGGUAGGCGGAAUGGACGGUGUAGCGGUGAAAUGCUUAGAGAUCGUCCAGAACACCGAUAGCGAAGGCAGCUUACUAAGGAGUAACUGACGCUGAGGCACGAAAGUGUGGGGAUCAAACAGGAUUAGAAACCCGAGUAGUCC